GUUUGAGGGUAUCUUCGUGAAGCUACAGUGCAACGUGAGGGUGACUUCAUGACAGCUUGGACAUGAGCUGACGUACCUGGGGCUGCCCUGACGUUCCCACUGCACAGAUGAUGGUUCUGGAGGUGAAGUGGGCAGCCUGUGAAAAGCAAAUGUCUCUGAUGAACGCACACGAACCAGCUGUGCACAUAUAGGCGACCUUUUGGUACGUCUUCAGAAAAAGUGUGCCCGUGCUUGCCCUGUUUGUCUCAUUUUGCAGAAUGAUUCAUCCUCAGGGGCGUGGGGGAAGGACGUAGGGGGUUCCGUGUGAAGAUGCUGCGUUAGCCAUAGCUUUAGCGUGGUCGUGACUAAUGGAAAUGGAUACUGCUCUGCGCAGGUCGCUGCUCUGGAGACCAGCCUGAACUCACGUGGCUGUGUAAAAUCAAGUCCCUCUUGAUUUUGGGCAUCUGGUGGGACUGUGGCCUUGUGAAAGGUGUUGAUUACGCUUUGGACAAUUAUGACAUCUGAAUUGUAUUCACGUUAUCGCCACUGAUUUAGCAGGAAACUGUCAGGAAGGCAGUGAUGAACUCUGGUAGAGAGCUGCAGGUGGUGUGGCCAAAUAACUGUUUCCCUGUGAUUGAUGUUAAGGAAAAGAGAUGUUCCAAGAGCAACACUAAUGGCAGUAGCUUUUGCAUGUGUUUAAAGCCUAACUCAAAAUCCAUGAAGUCCUUGGAAAGCCUUUUUCUGCUUCACCAGGCUUAGGACACGCUCACAGGCCCCGAGAAAAUACAUGACAUGGACACGGCGCUUUGACUGAGCGUGAACCCAGCCGUGAGCUGGCAGAUUUCCUGGCUUAACAAGGCCAAGUCCCUUGCAAACAGCUCAGGCAACCUCAUAAAAAUCAGAGCUGCCAUCUCUGGGUUGGGGGAAGUCUCUCAUAAUUGUGAUUAUAGCCUUCUGUCUGAGCCACUUAACGUGACUGACGUGCUGAAGCUCCGUAACAUUGCACUUGUAUUUAUUUGUUGCCCUCGUCUCUAGAGCAGCGGGAUGUAAAGGUGUCUUACAGGAACGCAAGCCCAGGAAGGGCACUCCCUGGAAUGUUUCUGAAAGCUUCCAGAAAUAGAGAGCAAGUCUGACGAGCUUGGAUCGAAAAGUGCAAAAUUCCAUGCCCAGAAGCUCACACCUCUUGGUAGAGGCAAGGGAAGCUUACGCUCGUAGCUGUUUCAGCUCGCGCUGAUGUCAACGGGAAGCCCUUUGCUCGAGUCCUCCAUCAGCAACGUUCUGAGCCCGGAGAGAAGCGGGAUUUAAGGGACUUAGGGAGAAGGUGACACCUUUCGCCCCGUUUAGCAGCAGGUUGAUCCGCAGCAUUUUCCCCGCUGAAGGCGUUACGACCCAUCAGCAGAGGUAACGGUGCCAGCAGCAAGCGGUCCGGUGCUGGCAUCUGCAGCUCCGGCCUCUUCACAGGCUGAGCAGUGACCGCUCGAGUGGUGAAAUACAUUAAGAAAAACGACGUUUAUUUAUUUAUUUUUAUUUUUGGGGAAGACAGCAAAGUAUGGCAGCAGUACCGCUGGGGUGCUGGAGGCGGGCCAGCUGCACGUAUUUGGUGAGAGAAGAAAAGCAACCAUCCGUCUCCAAGAGGAUGUAAGCACGGAGCUUUUAACUUUCUGUCUUAGCCUCUCCUGCGGCAGAAAGGAAGCCUUGUGUGUUGGGCUAUUCUGCUCCGCUGUUAAAAGCUACUGUAAUUCAGGCUGUGUUGAAAAGGAGCAAUUUUAGGGAUAGAUUUUUUUUUUUUCUUUUACUGUAUUUUUCCAGAAGAUGACUUUCACAUAGGUCCCCUCUGACUCACGAGGGGAGAAAUCAUUUGGAAGGAAAUAAAUCUCUGUUGAUGGCUACUCAGAAAAGCAGCCAAUGAGUACGGGUGACCUAAUGUUAAUAAAUGCCAUGGAUGAUGCACUGAAUAAUCUGCUAUUUGUUUGUGUUAUGCUAUUAGGAAGCUGAAAUUUAUUAGGCUUCCAAGAACCACAGGCACAUUUACAUUUUCGGUGUGUGUUGCUGUGUAACAUUGACUGGCCCGUCAGUUCAAGGAGGGCAGUACGCUCCAGCUGCACACCGUGAUGGUGGUAGGGCCUUCCCCUAACCCUCAGGUGGACUGGAAAUCUACUGCAUGCAAAAUGAGCCUCGCACCCCUUCAGCAGAGCAGGAAUUGGCCUCGGAGCCCCUGCUGGCACUACCAACGGGGAGAACUCCUGCCUGAAGGAUGCCCCAGUGGCUGGAGUCACUGCUACACGUCAUGUCGGAGCUGGCAUGGACUUGUGUGCCCCAAGAGAGGACCUGACCCUUCAGUUCGUAUUGCAGCUUGGUUAUUUCUUACCCUCGGUGUGCUGGCUGGGGAUGGGGAACCUCUUCCAGCCUGAGUUAGGUUAGGUGCAGCUGGUCUCCUACCGCAGCAGAGCGGAGGCAGAGCGAAGUCCUGUGUCUUGUGCCUGCUGCUUCUCCCAUCCAUCACCUCUGCCCUGGGGCCUUUCCCC